AUGAGCACCAUAUCUUCUUUUGCUUUAACGAUUAUGCACAGAUAUCUUAGAUUGCUGGAAAAAAGUCAAAAACCGUUUCGACAAUGAUUGAGGUUUUCAGCAUUGUGGAAACAGACAAUCAUACACAAUGGUCCUCCUACCCCAGCUCAUCCCAAAAGAUGGCACGGAAGUUGGUUCCUGCUGGCUCUGCAACUCCUCCAUUCUCCCUGCUCUUCCCUUUCUGAAGGGGUGAUCAGAAUGGAUGUGGGUUUCUGGCAUCCGGCUUAAUUUCCUGAGAAAGCCAUUUCCAAGUCAUAGAGAAGUUCACUGUAGUCCUUGGAGUUAUGAUGGAAAAAGGAUGAAAU